ACGAGGGUGGGUGGGGGUGUCGGCCGUCUCCGCCCCUGCCUCUCUGACUGGGUUCAGAACCUCCCGUGUCUCUGAGGUCAGGCCGCAGUGGGAUGAAUGGGGGCGUUGGCGGCAGUAGAGGGCGUGGGGGACAGGGUUGUCCCAGCACUUCCACAAGGGUGGGCAGUGAGAGGAGGCAGCUAUGCCCCGCCAUCUGCAGCCCGAGGGACAUUGAGAAGUCAGCGGCGGUGGGGCAAUCAGCAGCCCCUCCCUGGCAGUCCUUGUGGGACUCCUCCCCUCCACCGAGUAUGAGGUCCCGCAGUGGGGGCAAAGGAGGGUGGGCUCCAUGUGAGUUGGGCAUGCCCUGCCUGGAGGGUGCUCCCCAGGUGCCCACCCAGGCUGCCCUGCUGAUGUCCAUGGUGCGGCAGGCUGCACACACGUUUCCUUGCACGUGCACGUGUCUACACGGACUGCACACUUGCACACCGCUGGUGCACAUGCAUGCCAACACCGCUCCAGUGUGCACAUGCACAAACACUGGGUGCACACACGGACUCUGAAGGUGCAUAUCUGUCCUCGCCCUCGCCUGCACGCCCACGGCCACACAUGCAUGCACGCGGCAUCCCUGCUGUGGUCUCCAUGGGUGGCACAUGCUGGGGCCCCUUUCGCAAGACCCACUCCCGCACCCACAUGCCCAUGUGUUCAGUGGGGUGGCCAGGCCCACCUGCCUGCCUCUGUGUCCUGGGGUUCUCCCCCUCGGUGUCUGUGUGUGCAUGUGUGUAACUUGGUAUGCGUCUGCACGUGUGUCUGUGCGCAUGAUCAUGUGUGCCUGGGGCACAUAGGCAUAUGUCUCUUUGCCUCCGGGGUGUGGGUACCCCUUGUAUGCCUAGGUGGCUUGUGGCCUAAUCUGGAGCAGAGGCCCUGGAACUUGUGUUGGGGGCCCGAUGAAUGCCCGAAGCCCAGGGUAUGAGGGGCAGGGUCUCCCAGCCAUUCCCCACCCACCAGGGCUGAGGCAGUGAUAGGCAACAGAGGGCUGGAAACUGCCUGGGCAGGGAGGACCCAUUUCAAGCCAUGAGGUCACACUGUGGCCAAGAGUCCAGACCCUGGCUAUGCUUGGUGGCCACUGCAACUUGGCUGACUGGAGCACAUGGCCCAGUGUGACUGCAGAGAUGCCCUGCCUCCAGUGCCUCAGUUUCUCCAUGGUGAGGACCUUCUUGGUGAGGGGUUCUGUGGUGGGCUCCCCUGCCUCAGGUGUUGUGUAGGGUGCUGAGCAGGUGGACGCCGUGCUGCAUGAUGAGCAAGGGUGGCCCACUAGCACUGUGGCAGGGGCCCUGGGCUGGGGCUCGGAGUGUCUGGCCACACCUCCUGCUCCCCUGGCCACUACCAGUGGCUCAUCUGUAGAGUGGGGACCAGCAGGUCAUCCUUGUAGGUUGUGUGAGGGUGAAACAUACCAGCAGAGGGGCGGCUGGAGCAGUGGGGCUGGCCAGUCUCUUAUUCUAAGCCUCAGUCUUCCCAUCUAUAAAGGGGGUACUGUUCCCCGUGCUGCUCCAUUGAGGCAAGGAGGAAGCCACUCCAUGCUAGGGGUGGGAAUGGGUGGCCAGCAGCACCUCGACCCCACCCGGCAGAGGGGCAUGUGCAGGGCCUGCCAGGCAGAACCAUGGCCUGGAUUUGGGUCCUGGCUGAGCCACCUGCUGGCAGUGUGACCUCUGCCUCAGUCAUCCUCACCUGCCACCUGGGUCCAUGUCAGGGAUUAUCUGGCACUUCCAGGCUGAGGCCGGGUGGAGCUGGCCCAACUUUCCCCGUGGAGUUCUGACUGCAGUGCUCCUGCCCUCAGAAUGCCCAGAACACUUACCCACACCCCCUCGAAGCAGAGUCCUCCUGGGACCUUUGCACUGCCAGCGGGGCCCCUCACCCCAUCCAUUUGCAGAAGGGUCAAUAAAAGCCCCUAGUCAGGCACCUCAGGCCACAAGUGGGUGGAGGGGGGGACAAGGCAAGGAUGCUGCCCAGCUUGGGAGACGCCCCCGCAGUCUCUUCACUCCCUCCCUGCCCUCCCCCUAUUCCUCAUCUGGGGGAGCUAUGGAACCCCUGAACCUCAGUUUCCCUGUUCCAGGGUCCUUCCACUGGGACUGGCAGAAAUGUAGGUUUGCAUGGAGUGAGAAGCAGGGGAGAGGCUGAGGUAGGGCAGCCUGGCCCAGAGGGUCUCUGAAAGCCAGAGGGUUUGUGGAGGGUCUAUGGAGGACACUCCCACAGGGGCUGGGGCCCUUGAAGGUGGGGGUAGGUCCUGCUGUCCUCGGAGGCUGGGGACUGGCCCACAGUACACGGAGGGGCUGGGAUUUGUUUGCUGCUGCUGUGAGUGACAGGUGGGCUGAGAAGGCCAGGGCGUGUGGGAUGGUGCCCGGCCCCUCCCUCUGCUCAGGGACAGUGCAGCUUGUCUCUGCCCCAGCCUUGAAUUCAUACUUUGUGGCUCGGACAGCCAUGUGCAGCCGGUGCAGCACCAGGAGGGUCCAGCUGGUGAGGCCAGGACGGGCGGGAGGCAGAGGAGCCCUCCUGCUGUCCUGGGCCUCUGGCCCAGAACCUCUCCCUGGGAGCCUCAGUCUGUGCACCUGGGAAAGGGGUCAAGAGCAGGAAGCACAGGGGGAGUUCCAGGAUGACCUGGAAAUGAGCAGAUGUGUGUGUGAGCCAGGAGCCCCGCCCGGCCCUGGCACAGGGUUAGUGAGAGCUCCCGACACUUGGUUACUGUCUGAUCUAUAAGGUUCAUGCUGUCCCACCCCCAUUCUGGUGAGGCCUGACCUCUGACCCCCACGCUGGCCUGCCUGACCCUCUGCAGCAACCCAGGGCAUGGGCCUCGGGGUCCGCAGGAGCUGGCCUGGCCACCCACUGCCUCUGCAGCUGUGCAGAUGCCUUCUCAGAGCCCUCUCUGUACCCCUCAGUGGCCCUGCUCUGCCGCCUGGCUGCACCCAGGCGAAGGUCACAGGCACUCUCCUCAAAACCAAAUCCCAGAUGAUGCAUUUGCCCCAACCAUCCGUCCGCUUUCUCAUCUGUUCAUUCAUUCAUUCGUUCCUGGCCUGUCAGAUUCUCAUCUGAGCCAGGCAAAUCAAGGGGUGUGAUCCUUGGUGUCCUGUAUCUCUAGAAUUAAUGCUUUAAAGGAGAGGAGGUCACAGAGUGGCCCAGGGAAGCCCGACCGGAGUGGUGGGCAUGCUGUCCCACCCCGGAAAUCUCCCUGCACUGUCCCUGGGGCCCAGUUGGGUCCCCCCACACCAGGUGUUCUGUGCUGCCGUUUCUUCUUUUAUCACAGUAUUUUAAACAUUUUGCACAUCGGGAACUAUUCUUGUGCAUCUGGGUUUACUGGUGUGUGUGGAAUCCCUUCCUGAGAAUGCACCAUCUUUUAUUUAGCCAAACCUGCACUGGCCCCUGCACUGCCUGCAGCCACGGAGCUGGGCACCCAGAGAUGCAGUUCCUCACAGCCCUCCCCUCCAGGUCUGGGGCUGGUCACGUGCCCCUCCCCUGAUACCCCUCCCCUGCCUCAGGCCAGAUCCACCCCCGCCACCCCCCACCCCCCCACCCCUGCUCCUAGCCCACUGAGGACUUUGACAACCGUGGGCCAGCUGGGUGGGUGAUGGGAGUGAAUAGAGCCUGUUUCCGGCCGUCAGCUCUCUGGAUGGCCAUUGGUGCAGUGGUGCCUUGGGGCGGCAUCUCCCCUGCUCUUUCACACAGCCUCUGGUCUUGCCCACUAUGGCCUGUGGGGCCUCUUCUUUGGAGCAGCGGGGCAUGGGGUGAUGCUGGCAGUGUCCCGCAGCUGUGUCCUCUCUGAUGGAGGCCGCCCAUGGCAGCCAGACCCAGGAGGUGGAAUAGAAACGCAGGAAUGUUGGCGCAUCUCAAGAGUGGCUUUAGGAGGGGCUGAGUGGGCACAGGCCAGGGUCCCCAUGUAGGUCCACACAGGCCUGGAAGGCGGUGAGCCCCAUUCAGGGCCCUGGCACGUGGAGCCGGGCUGAUCUGGGAGUGGGUGUCAGGUGCCAGGCUCACUCAGAGCUGCCUGCCCUGGGCCCCCGGGUACCUCCUGGCUAUGCAGUCAGCACCCUGGCCUUCUCAGCUGUCUGUCACGGGUCACAGUCCAUGGAGCUGAAGUUCUUUGGAAGGUUGGUGGGUUUCACAUAAAGGCUUUGUGGUCAAAUGUGGGACCUGCCGGAUUAGAUGGUGCUGAUGGCGCUCCUUUCCCACAGGGCGUCUUGGGCCCUUUUUUGCGGGGGCAGCGCCUUCUCUGAGAGGCACCCCUAUGUGAUGCACCUCCGGGCCUGGUGUGCCCAGGAACCCGUUUUGGGAAACAGUGAUGGAGGUGCCUCCGAGGACCAGAGGAGGAGACCUGCGGGCCCCCAACAAGGGCCCCGGGAUGGGCCCUGCCACACAAUGCCCACACCCACGGGGCACCCAGUGGGUGGAGGGACCACUGCUUCUCCCAGCAGCUUGAGGCAAUGUGCAAAUUUAACCUUUGGAUUUAUGACUCUAUUUCUUUGCAGCAAAUGUCACGGGAAAUGUCAGGCUGAGGCUGAGGCUGGGUGAGCGGCCCAUCGAGGAAGGGGGUAGGGCUAGGCAGGCUGGAGUGUCAAGGAGGGGCUCAGGCCAGGGAGGACUCCAGGCCCCUCACCUCCUCCUGGGAGCCUUCCUGGAUUGUUGCUUGCUUGCCUGGAUCCCCAGCACCGUGUCCUCUGUUUGUCCCGGCUAUCACGACCUUGUUGAGAUGUUGCCUUUAUUUGCCUUCUGCCAGGGCUCAGAUGAGGCCAGCUUGGGGACAUGCCAGAAGUCCCACUUGUGCAGUGCUGGCUUGCUGUGUGACCUUGGGCAGCUCCACCCUUCCUGGUCACCAUAGGCCUCGUGGCCAGAGGUGGUGUUCCCAGCUCAGUGCCCUCAAGAGUAGGAAAACAAGUAGAGUCCUCAGUGUGUGGGCUGUGGGGCUCUGGGGGAAGUGGGUGGGGGCUGAGUGCAGGGCUGGGGUUGCAGAGGGCUGGCCCUUGGUGGUCCCAGGGCCUAGAGCAGGCCCUGCACACAGUAGGUGCUCAGUAAAGAGCAAAAGGCAGUGCGUGGAUGUGGAAGGUGGAGGUAGAUUCCAGCUGGGAGUCCACAGUCCCCAGUUACCUGCCCGCCUCCUCCACCGCAUGCCAGAUGUCAUCAUUCCAAGGCCCCAGCCUGACCUGUCACCAGCUCCGCCCUGUUACCAGCUCCGCCCUGCCUCCCAGGUCUGGGUGGGUCAGGGAAUGGUGACUGUCCCCUGCCGCGUGCCAGGCCCGUGCACCGGCACAGGGACUCAGGCUCCCCAGUGCCCCAGCAGCUCGGCGUCUCUCCCACACACAUGGGUUCCCCCAUUGCAACCUGGGCGUCCACAUCCAGCCUGUCUGCUAGUGUCACGUCCUCCGUACCCAGCAUCCAAGCCCAGAAUCCCAGCCUCUUCCCUCUACCUGUCCCUAAAGGCAAAAUCAGUGUCAAACCUGCACCCCAUCUCCUGGUCCAUCCCCUUUACUCCUCACUGAGAGCCGGCCUCAGACCUGGCCUCCAUCCCCAGCCUGUGGCCACGGCCAGUCCCCGCUCCCUGCCUGCCGUCUCAUUCCCCACCCGGGUUCAAGUGCUUCCCUAAGGCAUGUUUCCAGCCAGGUGCUGCCUGCCUAACCUCCCUCAUGGCUGCCGCUAGAUGAAACCUUGGGCCCUUCGUUCUCAGGGCCUGGGCUAGAGGGUCUCAUGUAGGAACCUUCUUUUCCAUACUUUCUGGGGAAGCCCUUGUCCCUAGAUCCCAGUGCCUGGCACCUGUGCCUCCCCAUCUCCACAUCACCUGAGGAGCUCAGGCCUAGCUUGAGGGUGCAGAAAGCCAUGAAGGGUGAGGCAGCACACUGGCAGGGAGGGAGGGCCCAGGUGCCAGUGAGGCGGAGCCUUUGCACCUUAGUGGGCAGUGCCUGGUGCCCAUCUGUCCCUGGGAGGGCUCUGGGAGACCCCAGGGCUGGUGGCUCUUCAGGCUGGCUGUCAGGUACAGAUCAGUUGGCCCAGAAGGCUGCACAGGGCCGCGCUCUUUCCCCAGGGGAGCCACCUGCCCUUUGAGCCUCUUUGCCUGCACGUGGCUGUUGUGAAGCUGGAGUGGUGGUCAGUGAGCACUGCCCACAGGCCUGGCCAUAGUGGAAGCUUGAUUUGGGCAAGCUGGAGGCUCCUGGUGGACCUGGCUCCAGGGAUCCCUUGAGCAUCCCCUUGUGGCAUGGGCUCAACGAGCUGUGGCAAUCGAGACUGAUGACGGGAACUUGGGGCUUUCUGGGCAGGGGUGAUGGGGCCUUUACCCCUGUCCUGCCCUUCGGGGGGUCCAGGCUGGACCCUGGCCGGCCCGUGUGGCCAGUGAGGAUGGGCAUAUGGGCCCUGCUGUGCUGCCUGGAGCCGGAGCCUCUGCAGAAUCCUGGGGGGUACAGAGAAGGAACUACUGUCUGGGGCUGCCCCUUCCCAUCAAUCCUUCUGCAAUGAGGGUCCUUGUAGGAUGUCCUGAGAGACACAUUAGUUCAUGCCAGGGGAGCCCAAGUGACAGUGGGGCUGAGGGAGAGGAGGCCUUGUACCUGCCUGGUUCUUAGGCAGAGUCCUUGGUGGUGUCAGGGCAGGGUGGGACUGAGCAGUGGGAGGGUGGCCACCUGUCUCCGGGCACGACCCCCACCCCAGAAGCCCCUUCCACCUACUUGGGAAACUCAUUUGCCCAUGCCUGGCCGGCUAGCAGCACAGCUGUGGAGGGAGGGCUGAGGAGCUGGCUCAAGGUCCAGCAGGAGGUGCCACGCUGGAGUUCCUGCCCCCACCUGCCUCCACACACGCCACCAGGAACCUGGGAAUUGGCCCUGGCACCCCCUCCUUUGGGGAGUCCAGCCAAGUUCCCUCCCACACACUCUCCACUGGAGUCUCCGCUUCCCUCCCGGCUCUCCCUGGACAUCCAGGCCCCAUUUCAGGGAGCAUGGAGCUGGCCAGUCACUGCCCUGCCCAGCCCCAGGGCCUCCUCAGGGCCUCCCAAGGGAUGAGGCUGUGUGAGGUGGUACCCCAUGAGCCUCCCAGGGCCAGUGAGACAGCAGCAGGGCUGCCAUGGUUCCCUCAGCUGGGCACAUCCCUUGCCCUACCCGCUGGGGCCAUGGGGGGCUGUGGUGUGAGUAUGGCCUGGCAGGUGAACCCCAAGUGUCCUUGGGGAGGGCCCUCCCCUCCUCAUCCUUGGUUCAGUUUCCGGCACUGAGAUGUACUCCCAGGAGACCCUGGGCCCAUCCUCAAUGCAGGGGAGGCCCCCAGGGUCACGUGCUUCUCCCUUCAUUCUCUUAGCAAAUUCUUCCUGGACUCACUUCCAAGACAGUCCUGUGCUGUGUGGCAGGGACCUCAAGAUUCUUGACAUGCUCUACCCGCAAGAGCCCCAGAUUCCAGGGAGACACGUGGAAGCCCACAAGGUCCUUAGGAGUGUCAACAGGGUGGGGGUUGAGGACUCUGAGCCCCCCGCAUUAAGUGCUCAUAGAGGCCACACUGGCCCCAGGUCUGAAAGAGGAGCUGGAGCUGCUGGCCUGGGGGCUGGGGGGGCUCCAGUGUCCCCUAGCGGAAGCCAAGUGGCUGCAGGACAGCCCACCGCCCAUGUGCGAUGGUUGGGGGGCUCUGGUUUGGGGGAGGGUGGGUGAAGAACUUGUGGGUCUUGUGGGUCUGCAGGGGAGCGGAGGAAGGGUGGAGGCUGCAGUGGUAGAUGGUGGGGCGAGCCCCCCUCAGCCCCAGCGGGAGGCUGCCUGCGGCUCUGGUGCUCCUGCGGCCUGACACGUGGCCCCUGCAUACCCGGCCGAGUCCAGGCUGUCUUUCAUCUCCCUGCCUCGGCCCCAAUUUAUGUCAGGCAGAGGCUGACACAAGGACAGGUGUGACAAGUGUCUGGCUUCCUAUUCGAAAAUUGGCAAAAGGAAAACUCUCCCAUAAAGAUAUUCUAUCUACAUACCUCCUGGAUGUCACCACGAGGACCCAUCACAGCCGAGACAGAUGGCGGCCCUAAUGGACUCCAUUCUUCACUAGCUGCCGGAGCGGAGGCUGGUCCCCUGGGGUGGCCUGAGGCAGAUGAUGGGUGGCAGGUGGGGCACCAACCUCCCUGCAAGCCCUCCCCUACACCCUGGCCUGCCCCCAACCCUGACCUGCCCACCAGGGCCUCUGUAACAGCCAGGGACUCCACGGGCAGGUGACCUGGACACCCGAGGCCCCAGUGGUUCAGCGCCUCCACCCUCCUGGCUGAGAAACAAUGCACGCUGGACCCCAGGCUCGGCACAUGUCAGGACCGCCCCUACUGCCCCUUCCUGGCCGAGGUAUCACUUCCACCAGGAAGCCACCCCUACCACCUCACCUGAGGGUGCCGCUAGUGUCCCCUGCAGGCAGAGCACUCCAGGAGGCAGGGUACUCAGGAUCCUCUGGCCCCCAGAUCGCAGGGAUCUUGAUGUGGCAGAACGGUCUCCAUCGCUGCCUCUGGGUAUCAAGGUGAUGAGGACCCUGGGGGCCAGGGGAGUCACAGGUUACUCUCCUGUGAAUUGGGGAGAGGGAGGGGCUGCUGUCAUGCACAACCCCUGUGGCUCACUUUCUGCCUGGGGGUCCACUGUGUUCAUCAUCCCCACUUGCAUGGGGCUACCCCAGGCCCAGGGUGAGGUCAAGACCCACCCAGCUUGUCACUCAUGCUCGCCAAGCUGGUGCCCCUCCCUGCCUGAGUACUCCAUGCGCAGGAGUUUAUGGGCCAUUACCCGGCCGGGCUCCCAUCCAGGUCUGAGGAUGGACCCUUGGGGCAACACAGUGGUACGGACGAGGAAGGGAUUAGGAAGGGGCCAGCCUCCUUAGGAGUGGCAGGGUGGGCCUGGGGGAGAAAAGGCCCCAGAGGGAGUGUGUCUGGGAACAGGGCAGGGCAUUCUAGAGGGGGAGCUCCUUGAGCAAAGGCCAGCAGGGGUGAUGGCUUUGGAGCAGCAGAGUCCCGGGUGGUGCUGGCUUCAGGCCGGGGGGUCAGGGCCAGGUAGGAUGCCGGCAGAGCCCUUCCUAGCUGCAACUUGGCCUUGGAGCUGGGCUUUUCUUCUCUGUGGGGUGGGGAUGGUGGUCCCUCCAGGGGUGAUGUGAGAAGGUCCUCCAGGGAGAGGCCAGGUGUAGGCUGCCCCAUUCUGGGUGGGUGGAUCAGGCACUUCCUGUGUACCCACCAUAAGCCGUGUGCCACCCCCGCCAUGAGGUGGGCCUUGUUAUCUCCAUUUCCAGCUGAGGGAACCAGUUCUGAGAGGUUGGGGGGCCUGCCUGAGACCUCCCCAGGCAGAGCCAGGGCCCCAACCCCUGGCCUGUUUCCAGGACUGCCCUGCAGGGCUGAUCACAAUGCGCAGGGACCCCGGGACAUGGGGGCUCAUGGAGGGGGCUCCUACCACCUGCAAGACAGGCUCACCCACCCUUCCACCUGUCCCAGUGUCAGCAUGAGACCAAACAGACAAACGAAAAACACCCUUGAUUUUACGAGGUCAUGUUCAUUGUAGAAAAUCUAGAAAAAUACCCCGAAGAUUUCAGAAAGAAGUUGUAUCAGUCUGAUCAGGCUGCCAUGACAAAUGCGAUAGACAAGGUCUCCUAAACAACAGAAGCAUAUCUUCUGAGAGUUCUGGAAGCUGUAAGUCUGAGAUAGCAUGGCUGGUUCUGGGGGGGCUUCCCUUCCUGGCUUGCAGAGAGCCACCUUCUCACUGUGCCCUCACAUGGUGGGGGAAGGAAGGGUGGAGAGACAGGAGGGCAUGCAUUUUCUGGGGUCUCUUUCUCUUCCAGGCCACAAAUACCAUGGUGAGGGCCCCAGCCUUGUGACCUUAUCUAACCCUAAUCAUCUCCCAGAGGCCCCACUUCCUAAUACCAUCGCACUGGGGGUUUGGGCUUCAGCACGUGAACAUGGGGGAGACGCAGACAUUGUAAGAUAAUGAAAGCCAUCUGUGGUGCCACUUAGAGAUGGUGCCCUUGACACUAGGUACGGGAGCCAUGCCCCCACCCCGGGAGCAUCAGUGCUCAUGCGCUGUGGGCCAAGGCUCUCUCCCAGGGAAGGACAUCCUGGGGAAUGCUGUCUCCAAGCUGCACAAAGUCUGCCACUUGCCCUUAGUGAUGAGCAUUUAGUGCAUUUAUGGAGCACCUCCUGUAUAUGGACCACCAGCCCCUGUGGAGCACAAACCCUAGGGUGCUUCAAGUGACAGAAGGGCCUGCUAAGCAGGCCAUCGAGGUGUGGAGUGGAACCUGGCAGUGGGCAGAAGGUGGAGGAGCAUCAAGGAGACCCUGGGAGCGGGUCCACGGAAGUGCCUCACCCAGACCCAGCCCUCCCAUUUCUCAAACGAGGAACAUAGCCAAAAGGCACAGGUGGUGCUUCAGCAGGGCCAUGUGGCUGGGCCUGGGGAUGACCGGGCCUCCAGGCGUGCUGCAGCCAAGAUGGGGGUUGGAGAAGCAGCCAGUGGAGGAGUGGGCAGGGUGGGCAGGGCUUCCUGCAGGACUGGGCUGGGAGGGAGGCCCCAGCUGGCUGUGCCCCGUGGGCUGCAAGGUUUUAAAUAUGCACUAACAGAAGAGGUGUUGAGGCCUGGUCCGGGGGCUGCCCUGAACAGUCUGAGUCCCUGGACCCUUCCCUGUGAGGCAGGGGAAGGAAGGAAAGGGGAUGGCGGCAGGUCUGUUGUGACAAUUUUAGGAGAAUGGUUUAUGCCUUUGAAGGUUUGAGAAGCCACCGUUGGGUGGUCUGGGCAGGCCAGAAGACCAGCUGGGUUCUGGGGUGUCUUCUCUGGGAUGAAAGGUCAGGCUGCCCAGUCUUUGGGGUUUCCAUGGGGGGAUGAGUGCUAUGUGGCCUGUACAUGGCCCCCUGACCCCUGAUGACCCUGUGUGGCCUUGGGAUUGGGGACCUCUCUGUGCCCUGGGCUCAGUGGAGUGAGCCCCAGAUAGACAUGCUGAGGCCGUGAGGCUGGACUGCCCGGCCUCCCUGAGGGCAACUGACCCCUUUCCACUGGCCCUGCCCAGUGGGGCGGUGCCUCAACCUCAGGAAGUAGCUGAAAUAUACUGACCUCAUUUUGCAAGAGGCAGCGGCACCUGGGCCUCCCACCCUGGUGGGUGAGAAGCCGCCAGCAAUUUCCAUCCCAAAUUGAUUUCAAAUAAGGAAGAAUUAUCACACACAAUCAUAUAGGAAUAAUUUAUCACUUGUUAAUAAAAGAGCAAGUACUUAUUCACGUUGCCGCUGCGUGCGUGCCUCAGUUUGGCUGCGGGGACACACUGGGGGCUCUCAUAGCAGCUGAGAGAAGCCUGUGUGCAUUCAGCCAAGGUCAGGAAGGAGGCCUAGGGCCGCCCACCCACCCCAAUGCCAGGCGGCCCCUGCCAGGUGUUGACCAUGCACCCCUACCCCCUGCUCCUGAGGGACCCUGGCCUGGAGUGGGGUCUUGGAUCUGUGACAGGGAGGGGACGGGAGCAGGCAGGGGUAAGGGGAAGCCGGGAAUGGGGCUUCAUUGCAGGGUGAGGGCUGGGCAGGGUGGGCAGGCAGGAACUCUGAGGCUGGGUGAGGGGAGCAGCUGCCCGGCCUACAGGGCAGGCCCAAGCACAGAGCUGGAUUUUUAAGCCAGAAGCUGCCCCUGCAGGUGUCUGGAUUGCACAGUCUCUGGGACCAAGAGCCCAUUGUGUCCUGGGAGACCCAGAUGCCUCCUCAGCCACCCUCAGCUGAGCAGGGGACGGCAAAGCAGCCAGGAUCCUCCCUGGCCAGAUGCCAGCUGCCCCGGGGCUGUGUGUCCAAGUGCUCUGAGCUCUCACCGUCCCUGUCUUUUCCUGCACCUUGGAGAUACCUGCUUCGAACCCACGUUUCCGCCUUCUGGAAGAUACCCUUUCUUUUUUUCGUUUUAUUUAUCUCUGUUUUCUGAGAUUUCAGUGCCAAAUAUGCAGUUGUUUUUAAAACAAUAACAUUCAGUCAACACUAUAUUGCACAGGGCUAGCGUCUGCACCCAGCCUCGGAGGCCGGUCUGGAGAAUGGGCUCAGUCUGCCCCUGCCCCAGUCCUGGGAGGCAGCCGCUGGUGCCUGCUCCCUGGCUUUGCCAGCGGUUGCCAUCACAUUCCCACAGCUGCUACUCCGGCUCUGUCUCCUCGGCACACUCCCCAGCAUGGCCGUCUCGCUGCCAUCAGUCACAUUCACAGCCAGUGUUUCCCGACCCAGGUCACGUAAAUGAUCUUCACAGUCCUGCCGUGGGGUAGGUGACCUUCCUCCUUCACGGCCUUUCGUUUUUCUUGGGGUUUACAGUCGACCCCUCUUCCCCCAUCCACCCCCCUCAGGGCUUACUCCUCCCUACAUCAGGCUUCUAAUGGGGUCUCAUUUUUUCCCUGGGUAAAGAUUCACCCCAAGCACUUAUCCUGCUGCCCCAUAACAUUUCCCUCCACCACCUGUUGAGGUUCCAGUUAAUGCUUCCUGGAUCCCACGUUUUCCUCUUUCUGGGUUUGCACCUCGUUUUGGCUGAAGCAGAAGCCUGACUAACUCUGAAGGAGAUGCGGUGAAUCAUUCCAGAAGUCUUCCUGUGUUUACAAGCAUGUUCAAGCUGGAUUGUCUCAGUCCAGAAUUCCAUGUUGAAAUUCGUUUCCCCUCAGAGCUAUGAAGCUGUUGCAAUUUUGUUUCCUGGCGUCUAGUGUGCUAUGAAGAAGGCCAAUGCCACAUUGCAUCUUCCUUUUUGCGUGUUUUUUUGGAGAGUCUCACUCUGUCGCCCAGGCUUGGAGUGCAGUGGCGUGAUCAUGGCUCACUGCAGCCCCAAACGUCUCAGCUCAAGCAGUCCUUCCCCCUCAGCCUCCCAGGUAGCUGGGAUUACAGGCUUGCAGCAUCAUGCCCAGCUCAUUUUUCAGUUUUUUUUUUUUUUUGUAGAGACAGGGUCUCACUGUGUUGCCCAGUCUGGUCCUAAACUCCUGGCCUUAAGCAGUUUUCCCACCUCAGCCUUCCAGAGUGCUCAGAUCACUGGCAUGCACCGCUGCACCAGGCUGCAUGUGGCAUCUUUGUGAUCAGCGUCUCCUCCCGGAGCUUCAGGCCUCUCUUGCCCAGCCGAGGACUGGGUACUCAGCUUUGGGAAGUUUUCUGGUAUGAUUUCUUUGCUAACUUUUCUGUUUUUUGUUUUCUCUUCUGAAACUCCCCUUGGGUGUUCAGCCUGUAUUUGUCUCCUGAACCUCAUUCAUUUUUUUUCUCCUCUUGUUUUGCUUUCUGGAAGAUUUCUCUGACCUUGUUUUCCAACACUUGUAUUGAUUUUUUUUUUUAAUUUUAGUGAUUCUAUUUUUCAUUUCCAGACACUCUUUCCUUUUGCCUGCUGGCUCCUUGUUCAUAGUACCCUGUUCUUGUUUUAAAUCUCCUUCUGUGCCUAGGAAGACACACAUUAGAUGCUUCUUUUAAUUUUUGUCUUUUUCCCUCACUGCCUGCUUGCUCUAGUGUCGUCUCUCCCACUUUUCUGCAUUGAUAUGUACUCCACAUGCCUGUUGGUUACUGGUCUUCUGGACACUUUUAUGAGGGAGGCUGGUUGGCUGCUCUUUUGAGAUGUGGCUUGUUUUCUGCCCAUCAGCCCCAGGUGCUCCUGGGUGCCAGCAGUGGAACCCCUUUCUCUGGGUGUUUCUCCAGGGGAGCAGCCUGCCACUGUGCUCCCCACCCCUCACUCUUCCUCACCCUCAUUUUAAUGGGUCUCUGGAAGGAGGAGCACACGCCUCUCAUGCACAUCCCUGUGUCUAACACAUGGUGGGUGAGCAGGGGAGGGGGACCAUCAGUGCUGCCUGAGAAGCCACAGCAACUCAACUGAGCACAAGCCUGGUCUCUCGUGAGAUGAAUCGGGCUGCACGGGCCCCAGGCCUGUCCUCCAGCCUCCUUUCUCUUCUGAGGCUGAGAGAGCAGAAGCAGCGAGGAAGUGGCUCCAGGUGGGUUUGUAGCACAGCCUGGCUGUUGCCCCCUCCUCCAGUCCAGAUGCAGCCAGACUCCUGCCUGCCACAUCUCUGUGAUAAAGCAGGGCUACUGCCAGGCCAGGCCAGAGUGGCCUUGCCAGACCACUGGAGCAGAGGGGUCCUUGUGGCUCUGAGACACUGUGAGCUGUGCCUUGCCUCCCUGCGAUCCUCACCUGAGAUAAGGCUGACCCAGGUCCGAAUGGCAGGCCUCUGGGAAGGCAGGAUGCUAGCCCUGAGGCCCAGGCCUGGGUGGGGGCUGGGCGGGAUUUCUUUGGGGUCCUGGGGGGAGGUGGGUGCUGGCCUCUCAUUGUCUUCACAUCACUGGUGUGGGGACAGACUUGGAAGGGGCUGGCAGAUUCUCCGCCUGCCUUGUGAGGGAAUGUAGAGGCUGCAUCUGAGCCCAGGGCUGCAAGACCCCAGGGUCCACCCUCAGCCAUCCCUGGGGAAGGCAGCCUGGGCUGAGGUUGAGGUGCUGUGGGGGAUUAGGGAGCCCAGAGUGGCUGCCCCUCCUUGCUGUGUCAUCCCUGGGGCUCACGGUCUACGCUGGUCUCCUGGGGAUGAUAAUGGUGAUAAGAAUAUUGGUGAUGAGGAUGGGGGUGGGCAAGGAUCUUGGAGCCCCGAUUGCAUGCACUGUCUCCUGGCCUCACAAGAUGGCCAGCAAGGUGCUUGCCUCAGUGCCUCAUCUGAGGAGUGGGUUUGACAGUCACCCCCUGACUCUACUAUGGGAGGCUGCAGCACAAGGCUGUCAUGAAACCUCUAGGAGUAAGGACAGGCUAUACCUUGGGCUGUCCCAGGAGGCCAGGAGCCCUCAUCCCUCACUCCCCCUCCCUUAUCCUCUUCCCCUCCCCAUCCUUGGUCCAGGGCCACCCAGUACUGUCCCACUGCUCACCUGGGGUUUCCUGUCCUUGUGUGAGGUCAGCCCCAGGCUGCCUGCAUCUAAGGACCUUGCACAGAGCUUGUGUGAUGGUGGUAAUGAUGAUAGUGAUGGUGAUGAGGACAAUGAUGGUGAUGAGGAUGAGGAUGGCGAUGAUGGCGACAAGGAUGAGGAUGGUGAUGGUGAUGGUGACGAGGAUGGUGAUGGUGACGAGGAUGGUGAUGGUGAUGAUGGUGACAAGGAUGGGGAUGAUGAUGAUAGUGAUGGUGACAAGGAUAAGGAUGGUGAUGAUGGUGACAAGGAUGGGGAUGGUGAUGAGGAUAACGAUGGUGGUGAUGAGGAUGGUGAUGGUGAUGAUAGUGAUGAGGAUGAUGAUGGUGACAAGGAUGAGGAGGGUGAUGAUGGUGAUGGUGAUGAGGAUAAGGGUGAUGGUGAUGAUGGUGACAAGGAUGGGGAUGGUGAUGAUAGUGAUGAUGAUAGUGAUGGUGAUGAGGAUGGUGAUGAGGAUAGGAUGUGGUUGAUGAGGAUGGUGAUGGUGAUGAUAGUGAUGAGGAUGAUGAUGGUGACAAGGAUGAGGAGGGUGAUGAUGGUGAUGACAAUGACAGUGAUGGUGACGAGGAUAAGGAUGAUGAUAGUGAUGGUGACGAGGAUAAGGAUGAUGGUGAUGAGGAUGACAGUGAUGGUGACGAGGAUAAGGAUGAUGGUGAUGAGGAUGACAAGGAUCAGGAUGGUGAUGGUGAUGAUGAUGAUAGUGACGGUGACAAGGAUGAGGAUGGUGAUGAUAGUGAUGAGGACGAUGAUGGUGACAAGGGAUGAGGAGGGUGAUGGUGAUGGUGACGAGGAUGGUGAUGGUGAUGAUGGUGACAAGGAUGGGGAUGGUGAUGAUAGUGAUGAUGACAGUGAUGGUGAUGAGGAUGGUGAUGAGGAUAAGGAUGGUGGUGAUGAGGAUGGUGAUGGUGAUGACAGUGAUGAGGAUGAUGAUGGUGACAAGGAUGAGGAGGGUGAUGAUGGUGAUGACAAUGACAGUGAUGAUGACGAGGAUAAGGAUGAUGAUAGUGAUGGUGACGAGGAUAAGGAUGAUGGUGAUGAUGAUGACAAGGGACGAGGAGGGUGAUGAUGAUAGUGAUGAUAGUGAUGGUGAUGAGGACAAGGAUGAUGGUGAUGAUGGUGAUGAGGAUACGAUGGUGAUGUUGAUGGUGAUGAUGAGGAUGAGGAUGAUGAUGGUGACAAUGAUAGUGAUGGUGGUGAUGGUUAUGAUAGUGGGUGGUGAUGGUGAUGAGGACGGUGAUGAUGGUGAUGAGGAUGGUGAUGACAGUGAUGGUGGUGAUGGUGAUGAGGAUGGUGAUAGUGAUGGUGGUGAUGGUGAUGAGGAUGGUGAUGACAGUGAUGGUGGUGAUGGUGAUGAGGACGGUGAUGAUGGUGAUGAGGAUGGUGAUGACAGUGAUGGUGGUGAUGGUGAUGAGGACGGUGAUGAUGGUGAUGAGGAUGGUGAUGACAGUGAUGAUCGUGAUGCUGAUGAUAGUGAUGGUGAUGAAGAUGGUGAUGACAGUGAUGAUGGUGAUGGUGAUGAUAGUGAUGGUGGUGAUGGUGAUAGUGAUGGUGGUGAUGGUGAUGAGAUGAUGAUGAUAAGGAUGGUGAUGAUAGUGAUGGUGGUGAUGGGGAUGAGAUGAUGGUAAUAAGGAUGGUGAUGAUAGUGAUGGUGGUGAUGGUGAUGAGGAUGGUGACGAUCUUGAUAGUCAUGGUGAUACUGAUGGUGACGGUGACAAGGAUGGUGAUAAUGGUGAUGAGAUGAUGAUGAUAAGGAUGGUGAUGAUAGUGAUGUGAUGUUGGUGAUGAGGAUGGCGAUGAUGAGCAUGUUUACAAUGAUGAUAACAAGGACAGAAAUGCCUCUGCAGCCUGCUUUUCCUUCACAACCUUGGCCAUGGGUCUGCAGGAGCAGCCAGGUCUUAGGCCAUGGAGGGUGCUCCAGGGCAUCCUGUUUGCAAGCAGGGACUCCACUCCCUUUCCUCUUGUUUCCUGGACCAAGUGUUCUCAUCUUUAAUAUUUCUUUGUUCUUAACUGUGAAGAUCCUUGUAGCAGAGGCUGGAGUCCUGAUGUCCUAGGAAGCACAUCGACAGGUCCAGGUCACCUCCUUUAAGGCCCUGACCAGCCCAGGGAGGCAGCUUGAUGUUAAUGGGUCAUAAGCCACCUCGGUGUGACCUGGCCAGAGUCCCUGGUACAGGGUACAGGGAGGGGCCUCGGCGCAACCUCUGCAGGGUUUCAGGGUGGAUAGACUGGCGCUGGCCCUAGAGACCCCCUACUCAGUUAAACCACCGCCCUCCUCAAAACUACCUGCACUAGAUCUGUCUCCUCUGAAGCGCCACCCGAGUCCUUUCCUCUCAAGCCGGACUGUGUCAUCCAGCACGUCCUCUGCUGUCCCCUGCUGCUUACAGCCAUUUUGCUCUGUGUGUGUCUGCGUGUGCGUGUAAUCCCAGCUACUCAGGAGGCUGAGGUGUGAGCCACCCCUCCCAACUUCUUUGUGUUAAGUUGUCCUCUUUUAUGCAUGUUUGACUGUGAGCCUCUCGACAGCCUCUUUUGCAAAAUGAUGGUUUUUCUGUUGACCUGCAGAGUAUUUCAGUACUUCUGAGUCUCCUUCUCACCUAGAACCCGUCACCCCAGGCCUCCGUGAGAUGCUGACCUUGCAGAACUCAGCCUGCGCUGAGGUUGCUGGGCUCUGUUCACCUGGCUAUGUGACUUCAGCAGGACCGUGGUCUUCUCUGACCCUUGGUUUCCUUUUCAUUAGGUGGGGGUUUGAGUGAACUCUGCUGGGGCCAUUGUGAGGGUGAAGGUGGCAGCACCCACACCGGCUUGCUCACAAACCAGGGAGCCGGCUGCUGGCAUGGGUGCUGUGGCUGCAGGCCUGGCGGGUGGCAGCCCCGUGCCCAGGUGCCUGUGUGUGCUACAAUGAGCCCAAGGUGACAACGAGCUGCCCCCAGCAAGGCCUGCUGGCUGUGCCC